rnacentral:rRNA from 1 species
CCUACGGGAGGCAGCAGUGGGGAAUUUUGCGCAAUGGGCGAAAGCCUGACGCAGCAAUACCGCGUGAGUGAUGAAGGCUCUUGGGUCGUAAAGCUCUGUCAGAGGGGAAGAACCUCCUAACGUAUAAUACACGUUAGGCCUGACGGUACCCUCAGAGGAAGCACCGGCUAACUCCGUGCCAGCAGCCGCGGUAAU